rnacentral:misc_RNA from 1 species
AUCUGAAUUAUGUGGAAACAUGCAGAAAAUUUCUCCAACAGAAAGCAGCAAUUCAUAGAUUUCAAAAUUGUUUCAGUUUGAUUUUAGCAAGUUAUACAGAUUAUAUGUGGUCCAAAUAAGUCAUUAAACCAUCACCACCAUAUGCUGCCCAGGCACCACUAGUUAAAUAAUCCUCAGUUACCCAGAAAUAUCUUCCAUUCUUUUAAGAAAAGAAAAAUCGUCAUGCAAUCUGUGAGCGUGGAUGUGCCUGUACAGAGCAUUUCAUUAUCCAGAAAACCACCAUAGCCAAAUUAAACACAUAAUUGACAUAUUAUAAUUUCCCCAUAGAUAAACCAGUAUUUAUCAAAUUAGUUCAACUGAAUUACUAAAAAAUUAAAUAUUAUAAACUACUUAAAGUGUUUAUCAAAUGCCAAGUUGCAGAAAAAGGAAAUUCUGGACUUCCAUUAAUGAACCACCUAUAAAGAACAAUGUCAUGUGGACUUUACAUAAUAUAAAAUACCUUGAAAUGAAUAUACAAACUUGCAAAUUAUUUUAACAAGAAUAAUUCUUAAGAACUACUGAAGCAUUGAAGCAAAUGAAAUA